UGGGGAAUAUUGGACAAUGGGCGCAAGCCUGAUCCAGCCAUGCCGCGUGAGUGAUGAAGGCCUUAGGGUUGUAAGGCUCUUUCGCCGGUGAAGAUAAUGACGGUAACCGGAGAAGAAGCCCCGGCUAACUUCGUGCCAGCAGCCGCGGUAAUACGAAGGGGGCUAGCGUUGCUCGGAAUCACUGGGCGUAAAGCGCACGUAGGCGGAUCGUUAAGUCAGGGGUGAAAUCCUGGAGCUCAACUCCAGAACUGCCCUUGAUACUGGCGAUCUCGAGUUCGAGAGAGGUUUGGUGGAACUCCGAGUGUAGAGGUGAAAUUCGUAGAUAUUCGGAAGAACACCAGUGGCGAAGGCGGCCAACUGGCUCGAUACUGACGCUGAGGUGCGAAAGCGUGGGGAGCAAACAGGAUUUAGAUACCCUGGUAGUCCACGCCCUAAACGAUGUCAACUAGUUGUC
rnacentral:rRNA from 1 species